rnacentral:lncRNA from 1 species
GAGGCUCUGAUUGAAAGCUUGGAGCAAGCUGAUAGAGAGAAUGUUGGAAAGGCCAAGGAAACAGAAGCCCAAACCUCUAGUGAGAGGUCUGAAUUUAAAGAUGAAACAAGUGGCAGUUCUGGUUCUGAUGCUGAUAAAGAUGCAAGUUCCUCUGACUAGUUUUUUUGAAGUUGUCCCCCACUCUCCUGAUGGUGUGCUGUGAUGGGUGUUCUAUUUUUUUGGCAGUUAUGUUCUACUAUUUUAAUAUGUAUUUUUCUGGUUUGAUGGAUU